rnacentral:rRNA from 1 species
GAUUAAGUUAUUAAGGGCGCACGGUGGAUGCCUUGGCACUAGAAGCCGAUGAAGGACGUUACUAACGACGAUAUGCUUUGGGGAGCUGUAAGUAAGCUUUGAUCCAGAGAUUUCCGAAUGGGGAAACCCAGCAUGAGUUAUGUCAUGUUAUCGAUAUGUGAAUACAUAGCAUAUCAGAAGGCACACCCGGAGAACUGAAACAUCUUAGUACCCGGAGGAAGAGAAAGAAAAUUCGAUUCCCUUAGUAGCGGCGAGCGAAACGGGAAGAG